GGUACCCUUCGACCCCCCCUCUACUGACGGAAACGCUGAGCACCGAAAACCUCUGACUUGGGUCAACUUUAUUGAGGCGUCGCAACCCUUAGGAAGCCCAGUGCAAAAGGGGGCGCCUCGGAACUUUAUUCAACUCCAGUGAGAAGACCAGUUUGUCGCGCACUGUAGUGCCAAUGUAAGCUGCAGCUUGACCUGCAGUCGGAUGUUCCCCGCUUAAGCCCAGUGUGAAGAAGACCAGAACAUUGGGCGUGAUAUUUGACGGGCAUGCCUACAGAGUAGCCGCCGCCGACGCUACAGAAAGAUGUCCGUAGUUGCUCUGUGUUAACUUACACAUUUUCGGGAUUUGAGUUAAUAUGCCUUUUUAAGGCCAAUUCUCUGGCGGAGAUAUAUAGAAAUGUAUUUUUUUUUGAGCAUCGGGAAUUAUGAGUGUUGGUAGAAAAGAGUGGAAACCAGCACCUACGUCAUCCAUGAGCUCAUCGAUUACGAAAGGAGUAAGGGUUUUAAAAUAUCAAAACCAAACGAAAACUGUGAGUUUGUAAACUU